GAUGAAGAACGCAGCGAAAUGCGAUAAGUAAUGUGAAUUGCAGAAUUCAGUGAAUCAUCGAAUCUUUGAACGCACAUUGCGCCCGCCAGUAUUCUGGCGGGCAUGCCUGUUCGAGCGUCAUUUCAACCAUCAAGCCCCCGGGCCUGUGUUGGGGACCUGCGGCUGCCCGCAGGCCCCGAAAACCAGUGGCGGGCUCGCUGUCACCCCGAGCGUAGUAGCAACACCUCGCCCAGGGAGUGCCGCGGGCACCGGCCGUAAAACCUCCUCUCGCCCCCCCCCGCGGGAGGGAACACCCCAAAGGUUGACCUCGGAUCAGGUAGGAAGACCCGCUGAACUUAAGCAUAUCAAUAAGCGGAGGA
rnacentral:misc_RNA from 1 species